AUGGCGGGCGCGAAGGACGAGGGGCCGGCGAUCGGCAUCGACCUCGGGACGACCUACUCCUGCGUGGCCGUGUGGCGGCCGUCGCACAACCGUGUCGAGGUCAUCCCCAACGACCAGGGCAACCUCACCACGCCGUCCUGCGUUGCCUUCACCGACACCUGCCGUCUCAUCGGCGACGCGGCCAUGAACCAGGCCGCAAUGAACUCCGUCAACACCGUCUUCGACGCAAAGCGACUUAUUGGCCGGCGAUUCAGUGACACGUCCGUACAAAGUGAUAUCAAGCUAUGGCCUUUCAAAGUCAUUCAAGGUCCUGGUGACCGGCCGGUGAUCGUAGUGCAGUACAGGGGGUUGGAGAAGCAGUUCGUUGCUGCAGAGAUCUCCUCCAUGUUGCUGAUGAAGAUGCGUGAGGUGGCCGAGGCCUACCUAGGCACAGCGGUGAAGAACGCCGUCAUCACUGUCCCGGUCUACUUCAAUGACUCCCAGCGCCAGGCUACCCUUGACGCCGGCACCAUUGCUGGCCUCAACGUCAUGCGCAUCAUCAACGAGCCCUCAGCUGCAGUCAUCGCUUAUGGUCUUGACAGGACGUCCAGCAGCAGUGAAGUGAAGAUGGUGCUCAUAUUUGAUCUUGGCGGCGGUACCUUGGAUAUCUCGGUUAUCAAUAUUGACAAGGGAAUCUGUACGGUCAAGGCCACUGCUGGUGACACUCACCUUGGUGGGGAGGAUCUUAACAGCCAGAUGGUGCAGCACUUCGUGCAGGAUAUUCUUAGGAGACACAAGAGUGACAUCAGAAGCAACCCGAGGGCGCUCAUGCGGCUGAGGAUGGCUUGCGAGAGGGCAAAGAGGAUGCUAACUUCCACAGUGCAGGCCAAAAUUGAGAUUGACUCGCUCCACGAUGGCAUUGACUUCUAUGGGACCAUCACUCGUGCCCGGUUUGAGGAGCUUAACAUGGGCCUCUUUCGCAAGUGCAUUGAGCACGUCGAGAAGUGCCUCAGCGAUGCCAAGGUGGAGAAGUCUCAAAUCCACGAUGUCGUGCUUGUGGGAGGCUCCACCAGGAUCCCCAAGAUUCAGCAGCUGCUUAAUGAUUUCUUCAACGGGAAGAAAUUAUGCAAGAGCAUCAACCCUGACGAGGCUGUCGCCAUUGGCGCUGCUGUACAGGCCGCCACCCUCAGCGGUGAGGGCAACCAGAAGGUGCAGGAUUUGAUCCUUCUUGACGUCACACCACUCUCGCUCGGGGUAGAGAUAGUAAGUGGUAUCAUGGGUGACCCUGGUAUCAUGAGCGUGCUGAUACCCAGGAACACCACCAUCCCCGUUAAGAGAGAUGGGCCUUACACAACCAUAUACGACUACCAGACCAGCGUGACCUUCCCGUUGUACGAAGGUGAAGGGGAGUUUACCAAGGACAACAACCUCCUGGGACAGGUCACGGUCUCUGGUAUUCCCCCAGAGCUUAAGGGCAUGGCACGACUCAGAGUGACAUAUGAAGUCGAAGCGAACGGUAUCAUGAGGGUGUCGGCGGAGGACCUGACGACUGGAAACAAGAGCAGCGUCACCAUCGACAAGGGUGGGCUGAGGAAGGAGGAGAUAAAUCGCAUGAUGCGGAUGCUGGGAAGUACAAGUCCGAGGACAAGAAACAAAUAA
rnacentral:rRNA from 1 species